GGAGGGUAUGGCUCAGUGGUAGAGUGUGUGCUUAGCAUGCACAAGGUCCUGGGUUCAAUCCCCAGUAUCUCUA
rnacentral:tRNA from 1 species